AUUGAACGCUGGCGGCAGGCCUAACACAUGCAAGUCGAGCGGAUGAAGGGAGCUUGCUCCUGGAUUCAGCGGCGGACGGGUGAGUAAUGCCUAGGAAUCUGCCUGGUAGUGGGGGAUAACGUCCGGAAACGGGCGCUAAUACCGCAUACGUCCUGAGGGAGAAAGUGGGGGAUCUUCGGACCUCACGCUAUCAGAUGAGCCUGGGUCGGAUUAGCUAGUUGGUGGGGUAAAGGCCUACCAAGGCGACGAUCCGUAACUGGUCUGAGAGGAUGAUCAGUCACCUGGGAAGUGAGACACGGCCCAGACUCCGACGGGAGGCAGCAGUGGGAAAUUGUGGACAAGGGGGGAAAGCCUGACCCAGCAAUGCGGCGGGUGGAAAGAGGGUCUCCGGAUUGUAAAGCUCUUUAGGUGGGGAGGAAGGAAAGUAAUUUAAUACCUUGCUUUUUUGACGUUACCAAAAGAAAAAGCCCCGGCUAACUUCGUG
rnacentral:rRNA from 1 species